ACAUGCCUACAACAUAGCAUUAAUGCACCGGAUCCCAUUAGAACUCCGCAGUUAAGCGAGCUUAGGCUAGAGUAGUAUUGGGAUGGGUGAUCGCCUGGGAAGUCCCAGUGUUUUACAUGCC
rnacentral:rRNA from 1 species